rnacentral:rRNA from 1 species
CUACGGGAGGCUCCAGUGGGGAAUAUUGGACAAUGGGGGAAACCCUGAUCCAGCAAUGCCGCGUGUGUGAAGAAGGCCUGCGGGUUGUAAAGCACUUUCGGUUGGGAGGACUGCUUCUAGCACUAAUAUUGUUGGAAGUUGACGUUACCUUCAGAAGAAGCACCGGCUAACUCCGUGCCAGCAGCCGCGGUAAUACGGAGGGUGCAUGCGUUAAUCGGAAUUACUGGGCGUAAAGCGCGCGUAGGCGGCUAGAUCAGUCGGGUGUGAAAGCCCCGGGCUUAACCUGGGAACUGCAUCCGAUACUGUCUAGCUUGAGUACAGGAGAGGAGAGUGGAAUUCCACAUGUAGCGGUGAAAUGCGUAGAUAUGUGGAGGAACACCAAUGGCGAAGGCAGCUCUCUGGCCUGAUACUGACGCUGAGGUGCGGAAGCGUGGGGAGCAAACAGGAUUAGAUACCCUUGUAGUC